rnacentral:rRNA from 1 species
UUUAAAAGGCGGCGUANGCUGUCGNCUAUGGGAUGGCCCCGCGGUGCAUUAGCUAGUUGGUAAGGUAAAGGCUUACCAAGGCGAUGAUGCAUAGCCGAGUUGAGAGACUGAUCGGCCACAUUGGGACUGAGACACGGCCCAAACUCCUACGGGAGGCAGCAGUAGGGAAUCUUCCACAAUGGACGCAAGUCUGAUGGAGCAACGCCGCGUGAGUGAAGAAGGUUUUCGGAUCGUAAAGCUCUGUUGUUGGUGAAGAAGGAUAGAGGUAGU